AACUAGACCUAGCCUAUACACUGACUGACUUAAUUAUAAUCAUACAUUAAAUAAAGCAUUUAUUAAUUAAAGUAUAUGUGAUAGAAAUAAUAUUAUAGCGCUAUACUAUGAAGUACCGUAAGGGAAAGAUGAAAGACACCUUAAAGUGAUAAAUAGCAGAGAUUAAACCUCAUACCUUUUGCAUAAUGGAUUAACAAGAAAUUACUUGUCAAAGAGAUCUGAAGACAAGAAUCCCGAAACCAAACGAGCUACUUAUGAACAAUUGUCAGAAUGCACUCGUCUAUGUAGCAAAAUAGUGAGAUGAUUUAUAAGUAGAGGUGAAAAGCCAACCGAGUUUGGAGAUAGCUGGUUGUCCAAAAAAAGAGUCUAAGCUCAACCUAAAGUAUGCCUAUUAAACUCAAAAUUAUAAUGUAAACUUUAGAGCUAUUCAAUAGAGGUACAGCUCUAUUGAAAAAGGAUACAACCUUUUAAGGAGAGUAAGCAUAUCAAAUAUCAUAGUUGGCCCAAAAGCAGCCACCAAUUAAGAAAGCGUUAAAGCUCAAUUAACCCAUCUAAUUAAUACCUUAAAUAAAUAUCAAACUCCCUUAUGUAAAUAUUGGACUAAUCUAUGAACAUAUAGAAGAAAUUAUGUUAAUAUGAGUAACAAGAAAUACUUCUCCGCGCAUAAGUCUAUAUCAGAACGGAUGCCCACUGAUAAUUAACAGUCAUAUAUCUACAAACCUCAUAUAAACAACAUAUUACUGCAACUGUUAACCCGACACAGGAGUGCGACCCGGAAAGAUUAAUAGAAGCAGAAGGAACUCGGCAAACACGAACCCCGCCUGUUUACCAAAAACAUCACCUCUAGCAUAACUAGUAUUAGAGGCACUGCCUGCCCGGUGACAUUAGUUAAACGGCCGCGGUACUCUGACCGUGCAAAGGUAGCAUAAUCAUUUGUUCUCUAAUUAAGGACUUGUAUGAACGGCAAGACGAGGGUUCAACUGUCUCCUGCUUCCAAUCAGUGAAAUUGACCUUCCCGUGAAGAGGCGGGAAUGCUAGUAUAAGACGAGAAGACCCUAUGGAGCUUUAAUUAACCUACUUAUUAGUUAUUUAAUUAAAUCUACUAGAUAUAAAGACAUAACUCCUUAUGUAGGCAAUUUUGGUUGGGGUGACCUCGGAGCACAAAAAACCCUCCGAAUGAUAUUCUGAUAUGAUUAACAAAUCUAAACUUAAAUCAUCAUUGACCCAAUUAUUUGAUCAACGGAACAAGUUACCCUAGGGAUAACAGCGCAAUCCUAUUCGAGAGUUCAUAUCGACAAUAGGGUUUACGACCUCGAUGUUGGAUCAGGACAUCCCAAUGGUGCAGAAGCUAUUAAAGGUUCGUUUGUUCAACGAUUAAAGUCCUACGUGAUCUGAGUUCAGACCGGAGUGAUCCAGGUCGGUUUCUAUCUAUAUCUAAUUUCUCCCAGUACGAAAGGAUAAGAGAAAUGGAGCCUACUCUAAAUGAGCGCUCCAACUGGUAUAUAUGAACUUAUCUUAAUAUAAAUUAGUUAAUAUAAUAGCCACCCUAAAUCAGGGUAA
rnacentral:rRNA from 1 species